rnacentral:rRNA from 1 species
UUCAGAGCCAUAUCUCCCUGCAGAUCUCACCUGGUUUCCCACUGAAGCUAAGCAGGGUUUAACCUGGCCAGUACCUGGAUGGGAGACCUCCAGUGGAAAACUAAGGUUGCUGCUGGAA